UGCAUUUGCUUCCCAUUGCACGCAACUUCCCAUCUCUCUCGUUCUUUCCACUGCAGCCGCCGCCGCCGCCGCUAGGGUUGCCGCCGCCAACACCUCCCCAAGCCGUAUUCGCCUCGACGGGUCUCAACCUGCCACGCGGAGUGACUCUCGGAUGCGGACGCUCGAGGGCGAGGGAAGCGCCGCCGCUUUUCAUGGGCGCCGGUUGCUGGUGGCGGCGGGAGGGACGAGCAGGCGUGCGGCAACCUCAAGCUUCUCCCAUGUGCCUGGACACGAGCGGCACAAGGGGUUGAGGAGCAGGGGGCGAUGCCAAGGGCGUGGAGCAGGGGAUUCACAAGCAGAUGCAUAUCAUCAGCAACCCCUGAGACCUCGUGCAACAUCAAGAUGCUGGUGUCCUGCCUCCAUUUGUUCGCCACGGUCGCUGCCUCAUGUCAGGUAUUGCGCGCAGGUAUAUGGCGAGGACACAAAUUUGGGUGUCCAGCUCCUUGCCUGCAUGUGCAAAGAAUUCAGAACCUGCAGUGCAGCAGAUGAAGCCAACGCGGACGAUGAUUAACUUCUCUGACCUUAUGAUGUUGGUAGUUGCGUAAGUUGGCAGUGGUGGCUUUGAUAUAUGAUCUGCCUCGACUCGGGUCUCCUCCAGUCAGCGCCUAUCCGGCGACGGCGACAGCGAGAGGAGAUGAAGUGGAGGCAACUCGAGGGCCUCCUAGGGGGCCUGGUCCAGUUCUCCCCCGCCGCCUCCUUUGCUCGAUUUGGCGUCCAAAAAAGGUGGGUAAUGCGACGAGUAAUUUAUAUGAACUUUGUUAUGCUCUCGAUUGAUUCUGCUGCCUUUUGCUGCUUUGGGUGCCUGUUGUGGCGUGAGUGGGAUUCGGUUCCACGCCAAAUCAAGCAGUCUACUCUGGCUGAGUAGACUAGCAGGUCCAUCCAUCCAUGUACGCCUUUCUUUGUACGCCUGAAUUUUUUCAAGGGAUCGGUGGCAGCGAGAUCCGCAAGGAGAACGAGGUGGCGCCGCAAGAUGGCAAGAACGGUGCGGCAGCGGGGUGGGCAAGAAGAUGAGGGUAUUUAGGAGAGGGUGGAGGCAACGACAGUUUGCAGCAAAUAAAUUAAUGUCCAUCAUUGGUUGCAGGUGUCAGGAUAACUAGCUACAGGUCAUGUUCCAGAAUCCCCCUUCCAACCUUCUCUCCCCAUAGAUUGAAUAUACUCCCUCGGUUAAUUCUUUUUAUCUGCUAAUUUUUUCACAAUUUCUUAUUCCCUUCGUUAAUUUGUAGGAGGAAAAUUGUGCUGACGAUCUUUUCUAUACUCUCUGGAUUUAUGGUUUAUUCAUGGAAAGGGUGUAAAAUAAUGGGCAAUGGUAAUUAUUUUGUUCCUGUGAAGCUCCAGGUUUGGCUGAUUGCUCGGAUGAUGAGUAUCAUAACCCACACAAGAAAUAUAGAAAAGGUAAAGCGAAGACAGUCCAUUUGGUUUGUCAUUUUGAAGGCACAGAUAGAAACAAGAACACCAUAUAUGUUCUAUAAGGAGGAGCUUUGAAAGUUUGUCAGGGCGGAGAAGAUGGUUCUCAAGACAGAGCUCUGCCGUUUCAGUGGUGCCAAGAUAUACCCGGGGAAUGCAUCAGAUUCGUCCAUUUAGACUCUCGAGUCUUCCUUUUUUCCAACUCAAAGUGCAAGCGCUAUUUCCACAACCAUCUCAAGCCCGGUAAGCUUAUAUGGAAUGCCAUGUACAGGAAGCAGCACAAGAACGUACAUGUAUAUUCGUGUUGAGGCUGCAAAGAAGAGGCACCGCGCCAUCAAGAGUCCUUAUGGUCUCGCUGUUCAUCGCCUUUGGAUGCGCCAUUGAUGACCAUAACCAUCGUCCAUGCAUAGAAUCCAUGUGUCGUGUUUCCUGUUUCUCUAAGACCUUGUAGUUCUGCCGAAUGAUGUGAGGAAAUAUGCCUCUGCUUUAUCAUCUAUAUCAUCGUUCAUGUAACCUCUAAGAAUCUGGUCUUUGAAUGUGUUGCAUUCGCACAACUGCCUUAUUGUUUCACUUUUGCACAACUGUCUUAUUAUUUCA